CGCACAUUGCGCCCUUUGGUAUUCCUUAGGGCAUGCCUGUUCGAGCGUCAUUUCGACCUUCAAGCUCAGCUUGGUGAUGGGUGCCUGUCCCGCCUCUUUUGCGCGAGGACUCGCCUUAAAAGCAGUUGGCAGCUUCUUCUCCAGCCCCAAACGCAGCAGAAUGCGCUGAAGCGAGGGGGAGAGGCUUUCCAGUAAGCACUUUUUGCACGGUUGACCUCGGAUCAGGUAGGGAUACCCGCUGAACUUAA
rnacentral:misc_RNA from 1 species